rnacentral:misc_RNA from 1 species
GAUGAAGAACGUAGCGAAAUGCGAUAAGUAAUGUGAAUUGCAGAAUUCAGUGAAUCAUCGAGUCUUUGAACGCACAUUGCGCCCCCUGGUAUUCCGGGGGGCAUGCCUGUCCGAGCGUCAUUGCUGCCCUCAAGCACGGCUUGUGUGUUGGGCCGUCGUCCCCCUCCUAGGGGACGGGCCCGAAAGGCAGCGGCGGCACCGCGUCCGGUCCUCGAGCGUAUGGGGCUUCGUCACCCGCUCCGUAGGCCCGGCCGGCGCUUGCCGACGACCAUCAAUCUCUUUCUCCAGGUUGACCUCGGAUCAGGUAGGAAUACCCGCUGAACUUAAGCAUAUCAAUAAGCGGAGGA